CGCCGCGAUCGGCUGGGGAGGGCUUGCGCUGGGGCUGCUGGCGGCGGCCUUCGCGAGAGGCUUCGCGUCGCCGACGUUCGCGGUCGCCGUCGCGCUGGCC
rnacentral:tRNA from 1 species